CCUCCUCAUAAUCCUCAAGGGCAGCCAUGUCCUCAUGGGCCUCAGAAAACUUUCUUUUCCUGCAUGCCCUCACCCACAUACCAGUGAACAAAGGCACGCUUGGCAUACAUCAGGUCAAACUUGUGGUCCAGGCGAGCCCAGGCCUCAGCAAUGGCUGCGGUGUUGCUCAGCAUGCACACAGCUCGCUGUACUUUGGCCAGGUCUCCACCAGGUACCACAGUGGGAGGCUGGUAAUUAAUACCAACUUUGAAGCCAGUGGGACACCAGUCCACAAACUGGAUGGUACGCUUGAUCUUGAUGGUGGCAAUGGCAGCACUGACAUCUUUGGGAACCACAUCACCACAGUACAACAGGCAGCAAGCCAUGUAUUUACGAUGGCAAGGGUCACAUUUCACCAUCUGGUUGGCUGGCUCAAAGGAUGCAUUGGUGAUCUCUGCUACAGAAAGCUGUUCACGGUAGGCUUUCUCAGCAGAGAUGACAGGGGCAUAUGUGGCCAGAGGGAGGUGGAUGCAGGGAUAAGGCACCAGGUUGGUCUGGAUUCUGUCAAAUCAACAACAUUCAGGGCUCCAUCAAAUCUGAGGGAAGCAGUGAUGGAAGACACAAUUUGACCUAUCAACCUAUUUAGGUUAGUGUAGGUUGGGCGUUCAAUAUCGAGGUUUCUACGACAGAUGUCAUAGAUGGCCUCAUUGUCUACCAUGAAGGCACAAUCAGAGUGCUCCAGGGUGGUGUGGGUAGUGAGGAUGGAGUUGUAGGGCUCAACUACAGUGGAAACCUGGGGAGCUGGGUAAAUGGACAACUCCAGCUUGGACUUCUUGCCAUAUUCGACAAAGAAACGUUCCAUCAGCAGGGAGGUGAACCCG
rnacentral:lncRNA from 1 species